CUUUAAUUUCAGUAAUGUUUUAUGUUAUCAUCAAAGAUAUGAGUAUGAAAUUUGUAAAAGUAUAGAAAUUUUGCCAAUUUUCUGUUAGAUUAAUUUCUAGAUAUUUGAUAAUUUUGUAUGGUAUUUAAUGCUUCAAAAUAUUUACAUUAUCAUUUUCUGCUUUCUUGUGGCUGGCAUGUAGAAGCACAAAGGCUUUUGCUACAUUGACUUGGUAUCCAGAACUCAUAGUUCGCCAUUGUACAAAGUACAAUACUUUGUAGAUUCUUUUGAGUUUUCUAUUUAUAUAAUAUGGAAAAAAAAGUUUGCAUUUUCCUUUUCAAACUUGCCUCAUCCAUAAGCCUCAGGAAAUGUUUUCAGUAUUUCACAACUAAAUGUGAUAUUUGCUUUAGUUUUUAUAGAUAAUCAUUAUAAGACUUAUAAAGUUCCUUUCAUUGUUAAUGUGAAAGAUUUGUCAUACUAUUACAUGCUAGAAAUUAUUCUUUCUCUUUCUAUCGGGUCCAUAAAAUUAUCAUUUUGCCUUUUUAAAUGUAUAAUCAAUCACAUUGUUGAAUUUUAGUAGUUUAUUUUAGUAAUUGUUGACCACCUUGUGUUUCUAGAAUAUAAUAAGCUUUUUCUUGGCCAUACUUUUGGUAAAAUGCAGGAUAUUAAAUAUGCUCUAUUAGGGUUUUGCACCUAUGUUUAAAAAAGCAGUUUAUAAGUUGAUAUUCUUCUAAUGUCUGUUUCGUAUUUUGGAAUUAAGCUUUAUGAAGAGGAACUGUUACUUUCAUUUUGUUCCUUGUAAGACUGUGCACAUUUUAUUUCUUCAUUAAAUAUUGGCAAGAAUAUCUGAGAGUAGCCAUUUGAACUUGGAUUUAAAGUGUAGAGUAUUUUUUUUAAAUAUCAAACAAAAAAUUUUAUUUCACAUAGUGUCAGCUUUGAAAAUUGUCAUAGUCGGAAUACUCACUGUGCUGAAAAAUAUUAAUUAUCUGCAAAUUGCCAUGUGAAUUCAAUACAAC
rnacentral:lncRNA from 1 species